rnacentral:rRNA from 1 species
UCGAGGGGUAUGGCAGCAAUGCCAGAGACCGGCGCACGGGUGCGUAACGCGUAUGCAAUCUGCCUUUCACAGAGGGAUAGCCCAGAGAAAUUUGGAUUAAUACCUCAUAGCAUAAUGAGUUGGCAUCAACACAUUAUUAAAGUCACAACGGUGAAAGAUGAGCAUGCGUCCCAUUAGCUAGUUGGUAAGGUAACGGCUUACCAAGGCGACGAUGGGUAGGGGUCCUGAGAGGGAGAUCCCCCACACUGGUACUGAGACACGGACCAGACUCCUACGGGAGGCAGCAGUGAGGAAUAUUGGUCAAUGGGCGCAAGCCUGAACCAGCCAUGCCGCGUGCAGGAUGACGGUCCUAUGGAUUGUAAACUGCUUUUGUACGGGAAGAAACAGCGAUUCGUGAAUCGCCUUGACGGUACCGUAAGAAUAAGGAUCGGCUAACUCCGUGCCAGCAGCCGCGGUAAUACGGAGGAUCCAAGCGUUAUCCGGAAUCAUUGGGUUUAAAGGGUCCGUAGGCGGUUUUGUAAGUCAGUGGUGAAAGCCCAUCGCUCAACGGUGGAACGGCCAUUGAUACUGCAAGACUUGAAUUAUUAGGAAGUAACUAGAAUAUGUAGUGUAGCGGUGAAAUGCUUAGAGACUACAUGGAAUACCAAUUGCGAAGGCAGGUUACUACUAAUGGAUUGACGCUGAUGGACGAAAGCGUGGGUAGCGAACAGGAUUAGAUACCCUGGUAGUCCACGCCGUAAACGAUGGAUACUAGCUGUUGGGAGCGAUCUCAGUGGCUAAGCGAAAGUGAUAAGUAUC